rnacentral:rRNA from 1 species
AGAGGAAGUAAAAGUCGUAACAAGGUUUCCGUAGGUGAACCUGCGGAAGGAUCAUUAUUGAAAAUAAACCUUGAUGAGUUGCUGCUGGUUCUCUAGGGAGCAUUGUGCACACUUGUCAUUUUUUAUAUUUCCACUUGUGCACCUUUUGUAGACCUGAAUAGUUGUAAGGAAUUAACUUUCCUUAUAUUUUCAGGCCUAUGUUUCUUCAUAUACUCCUUAAUGCAUGUUAUAGAGUGUAACAGGCCCUAUGUGCCUAUAAUCUAUACAACUUUCAGCAACGGAUCUCUUGGCUCUCGCAUCGAUGAAGAACGCAGCGAAAUGCGAUAAGUAAUGUGAAUUGCAGAAUUCAGUGAAUCAUCGAAUCUUUGAACGCACCUUGCGCUCCUUGGUAUUCCGAGGAGCAUGCCUGUUUGAGUGUCAUUAAAUAUAUCAACCUCUAGCUUUUGCUUGUUGAGUGUUGGAUGUGGGGGUGUUUUGCUGGCCUUUCGAGGUCAGCUCCCCUGAAAUGCAUUAGCGGAACAAUUUGUUGACUCUGUUUAUUGGUGUGAUAAUAUCUACACUAUUGGAGUGAAAGCAAAAGUUCAGCUACUAACAGUCCAUUGACUUGGACAACUUUUUCAUUUAAUGUGACCUCAAAUCAGG